GAUGAACGCUGGCGGCGUGCUUAACACAUGCAAGUCGAACGAUGAAGCUCAGCUUGCUGGGUGGAUUAGUGGCGAACGGGUGAGUAACACGUGAGUAACCUGCCCUUAACUCUGGGAUAAGCCUGGGAAACUAGGUCUAAUACCGGUUAGGAGCGCCUACCGCAUGGUGGGUGUUGGAAAAAUUUAUCGGUUUUGGAUGGACUCGCGGCCUAUCAGCUUGUUGGUGAGGUAAUGGCUCACCAAGGCGACGACGGGUAGCCGGCCUGAGAGGGUGACCGGCCACACUGGGACUGAGACACGGCCCAGACUCCUACGGGAGGCAGCAGUGGGGAAUAUUGCACAAUGGGCGAAAGCCUGAUGCAGCGACGCCGCGUGAGGGAUGACGGCCUUCGGGUUGUAAACCUCUUUCAGUAGGGAAGAAGCGAAAGUGACGGUACCUGCAGAAGAAGCACCGGCUAACUACGUG
rnacentral:rRNA from 1 species